CAGCUAUGGCGUCGUCAUAGUUGACGCCGAGAAGAGCCACUUCGAGAUGGCUGAGGAGGUCGGCUACGAGGAGAACGACGGCAAGUGCAAGUGCACCACCGGCUGCUCCUGCGCCGGCUGCAACUGCGGCAAGUGAUGAACAAAGCUAUCCUCUGCAACCUGGCCCCACAAUCCAGUGUGUCAUCCGUUAUGCGCCCAUGCGUGCAUAUAUAUGCAUAUGCAUGCAUGCAUGCUAAAUAAUGUUUCGUGUUGCGUAUGUGUGCCAUGUGACUUGCUAUCAUGUGAGUCAUCACCUGCACCUUUGUGUGUCUAUAUGUAUGUACGUGUCCUGUGAUGUGAUGAUGUACCUGUGCUGUCAUAUAUAUGGAG
rnacentral:misc_RNA from 1 species